CUUCCUUCCUCAUACCUUCACUGAGCGAACCCAAUGCUCAGUGGCCUUUCUGGUCACCUCCUUUUCCUCUCUGGGAGGAGCCACUCCUGGGGUGUAACGCAGUCAGAUCCCCUAGCAGUCCCGCUCUGCCCCCUCCCUUCUGGGGGCCUCAGACUCCAUUCCCUCCCUUAGGAAGCUGACUUGACUAAUAGCACAGGUGAGGCCCACUCCAGGCGUGCCAAGAGGACCCAAGGAGGGAGGGGAAGCUCCCAGACAGCAGUGGCACACCUUUGCCUGUGCUGUCCUCCCAGCCUGGAGCACCAGCCCCCUCUGCUGUCCACAUCCAAGCUUUCUACAAGACUCCGUCCUCCAGGAGACCUCUGGCUGCCUCACCUUCUCAGGCGUCCUCACCAGGGCCCAUGACCCCUUCAUUUCAGAAAAACUGGAUUCAUCAAACGAAUCUUUGGUCAACAACUGUUCAAGAACAAUGUUAACAUCACACAUAGGAAUGCUAGGAUUUGCUAUUUUCAGCGAUCGAGAAUUACUUUGUUUUGUAAAUGGAAAUACCACGACUAAAACCAGAAUGCUACAAAUAGAGUGAUGUCUUUUGUUUCCAAAGUCAAUAUACUAGAGCAAGGCAAAAAUAAUAAUAAAAGCGAGGUAUUUUGUGGCAAAGU
rnacentral:lncRNA from 10 species